rnacentral:rRNA from 1 species
AUUGAACGCUGGCGGCAUGCCUUACACAUGCAAGUCGAACGGCAGCGCGGGGGCAACCCUGGCGGCGAGUGGCGAACGGGUGAGUAAUAUAUCGGAACGUAUCCAAGAGUGGGGAUAACGUAGCGAAAGUUACGCUAAUACCGCAUACGAUCUAAGGAUGAAAGCAGGGGACCGCAAGGCCUUGUGCUCCUGGAGCGGCCGAUAUCUGAUUAGCUAGUUGGUGGGGUAAAGGCCUACCAAGGCAUCGAUCAGUAGCUGGUCUGAGAGGACGACCAGCCACACUGGGACUGAGACACGGCCCAGACUCCUACGGAGGCAGCAGUGGGGAAUUUUGGACAAUGGGGGCAACCCUGAUCCAGCAAUGCCGCGUGAGUGAAGAAGGCC